GGGGGGAAAACAGGGAUUUAGCAUUAGAGGAACACUACAGUCACGGGCCAAAGCCUUCCUCGAUUUUUAGCACGAAUCAUGAAUGACAAAAAUUAAGGCAGUUCUUGACCAAGAAGCAUGGGUGGAAGUAGAUGUUCCUGAUGAAUUCCUGGUUACUGUCACUUCAUUAUUUUGUUCUGAAGCAUUGGGAACCGAGAACCUGGAUGCUUUUCAUGGUAGUACCGAAACAAGCUACACUGAGGUGGCCACAAGCAACAAUAGUUCACAUGUGGUGGAUACAGGACCAUCAUUUACAGAUCAGCACAUUAAACGAACUGAUUCUACUGAAUUAUCUAGGGAUAUGACUGGAAAGAUAAGUCUACAUAUGCUCCUGGAGCUGAAAAGAAUAAGGCUGAUGUUACAAAUUCUGUGGCUCAGAACAGCCACAGCAAUAUGAAGGAGAGGGGAAAGUCAACUUCCCAAACCAUUUUGUGCAAAGAUGUUGGUUUUCAGAUGGUAAACUGUGGCCUGAUAUUGAUGAAGAUGUUGUCAGAGUACAUUGAUAUGUCCAACUUUGUUUCCUCAGAAGUUAUUCUCAGAGGUUGUUCAUUGUUGUUGAAAUUUUUUAAGUUUUAAAAUACAAGAACAUGUCAGCUUGUUCUUGGUUGCAGGUAACUUUCCCUCAGUAAUCAGUUGAUAUUGUGUUUACAAUUUACUUUAUCAAUCUGCCACAUAGAUAAUGGAAUAUGGUUAUGGAAGAUUCGAGAUUUCCAUAUCUACUGUUCUUGUAUGUACAUGUCUUCAAAAAUUAAACCGUUUCACUGACUUUAUAAGUAAUGUUUGGCCUUCAACCCAGCAAUCCCCUUUUGACUAUUAGGAAGCUUCCUCUCUUGAUUUUAUAGGACCUUAAAAAUCACCUUGAUCAUUUUCAUUGUUCAUAUUUUAGAGUAGUAGAAUAGUGCAUACCUUUUCGAUCGUUUGGUUAAUUCUGAUUUAUCUACCAACCAGAUCAUAUGUGGUAUUGCAGGUAUCUGGUCUGAAGUUGAUAACUUCUAAACACUUGGCCUUGGCAAGUCAAGUCAUCAGUUUCGCAUAUGCUAUUAUUUAUGAACUCAGGCAAAUUCAUUUUUCUGAAAGUACCUGAGACAAGAAAGGCAAUGUUGCCAUCUGAAAUUUAU